rnacentral:snRNA from 1 species
GUGCUCACUUCGGCAGCACAUAUACUAAAAUUGGAAUGAUACAGAGAAGAUUAGCAUGGCAAGGAUGACACAUAAAUACGUGAAGCGUUAUAUAUUUUU